rnacentral:lncRNA from 1 species
UUACAAAGAGUAAAUCUAAAGCGGUCCAAAAUACCCGAUAUUCCAUGCUCGGCCCGGACCCUACCUGGACCCGAAUCGGAUCCGAUAAAAGAUGGAUAGAAUACGGGUUAAAAUAAUUACCCAUUAAAGUUUCGGGUACGGGUCUGAAUACUUUAUACCCAGAUCCGACUUGGACCCGACCCAAAUCCGACCUUUUAAUGGGGAGGGUCAGGAAGAGCUUUCAAAUCUCGACCCAGACUUGGACCCAGUGAAAUAUCCGAUAGUAAAUAAAAAAAUUUAAAGUUAAGGGAUCAAUUUCAAUAGUACUUAUAGAUGAAGGGUCUCGGUAUAUUUUCAUCCUAAUAAAAAUCCUAGUCGCUUUGUUUACUCCUUUUUUUUAUUUUUUUUUUAUUUUACUCAUUUCUUUAACCCUAGCCGUUUACUGCUUGAAUCUUUCUUUUGAAUUAAUUUUAUUGGACGGUGCAACUAAUUAGAACGCGAGUUUUCUAUAGCGAGAGAUUUAUGAUUUUUUUAUAAACUGUUUAAUAAAGUAUAUAAAAAUAGGGAUAAUUGCCUAUAUACCCCUCAUACGUUUAAAAAUAUCCAAUUUACCCCUUUUUUUUUCUUUCUAAAAUACCUAUCAUAUAUAUUCCACCGUUAUUGUAAAAUAACCCUGCAGUUAUCUCCUGUUAAGUUAACUUAGGUUAAACGUGAGUUAAAUAUCUACCACAGUUAAAAAAAUUAAAAUGCUAAUUUUGCUCUUAACUUAAUGAUAAAUAAGAAAUGUUGGUGACGGUAGAGGGGUAUAUUUGAAAAGACCAAAAGUCAAAAUACUUUUUGUGCCCCUAACUUUAAGGGCAAAUAAGAAAGUCAGUGAUGGUCGAAGGGUAUAUUUGAAAGGGCAAAAUAGUAAUUUUACAGAGAUAACAGAGUUCAUUAACAGAUUUUAACUCUAAAGGUAUAUUAGAAAUAGGUUGGAACGUAAAAAAUGUAUUUUCAAUAUUAGCCGUCUAAGAGGGGUAAAUCGAAAAGUUGGGAACUUUUCAGGGGUAUAUAAGCAAUUGUCCCAUAAAAAUAUAUGCAUACGGGUAUCUGUACCCGAACUAGAUCCAACUCGUACCUGAUCCAUGAUGGAACUCCCCUCGGCCAAUCAUCACUAUACUUGGUCUUAAGUAGGAAACAUACCGGUAAUCACUACCCAGACCCGCUAAAAUAGACCCGAUAGGUAUAUUAUUAACUUAAGUACUCAGAUCUGGACCCGAUCCGAAGUUAAAUGGAUAGGGUGUAUAUAUAUUUUUCUACCUAUUUCUUUUUAGGAUACGGGUAUAGUAUAUCAACUAUCUAGACUCGACCCGGUUCAUAAACACCUUUAAGCAAAUCUGAUAAUAUCUAAAGUAUUAAAUUAUGUCGAAACUUCCUUUUUUCACUAUAAUAAUGAUCAGUUAGCUUUUCUACUCUUUUGAA